rnacentral:rRNA from 2 species
UUAAGCGACUAAGCGUACACGGUGGAUGCCCUGGCAGUCAGAGGCGAUGAAGGACGUGCUAAUCUGCGAUAAGCGUCGGUAAGGUGAUAUGAACCGUUAUAACCGGCGAUUUCCGAAUGGGGAAACCCAGUGUGUUUCGACACACUAUCAUUAACUGAAUCCAUAGGUUAAUGAGGCGAACCGGGGGAACUGAAACAUCUAAGUACCCCGAGGAAAAGAAAUCAACCGAGAUUCCCCCAGUAGCGGCGAGCGAACGGGGAGGAGCCCAGAGCCUGAAUCAGUGUGUGUGUUAGUGGAAGCGUCUGGAAAGGCGCGCGAUACAGGGUGACAGCCCCGUACACAAAAAUGCACAUGCUGUGAGCUCGAUGAGUAGGGCGGGACACGUGGUAUCCUGUCUGAAUAUGGGGGGACCAUCCUCCAAGGCUAAAUACUCCUGACUGACCGAUAGUGAACCAGUACCGUGAGGGAAAGGCGAAAAGAACCCCGGCGAGGGGAGUGAAAAAGAACCUGAAACCGUGUACGUACAAGCAGUGGGAGCCUCUUUUAUGGGGUGACUGCGUACCUUUUGUAUAAUGGGUCAGCGACUUAUAUUCUGUAGCAAGGUUAACCGAAUAGGGGAGCCGAAGGGAAACCGAGUCUUAACUGGGCGUUAAGUUGCAGGGUAUAGACCCGAAACCCGGUGAUCUAGCCAUGGGCAGGUUGAAGGUUGGGUAACACUAACUGGAGGACCGAACCGACUAAUGUUGAAAAAUUAGCGGAUGACUUGUGGCUGGGGGUGAAAGGCCAAUCAAACCGGGAGAUAGCUGGUUCUCCCCGAAAGCUAUUUAGGUAGCGCCUCGUGAAUUCAUCUCCGGGGGUAGAGCACUGUUUCGGCAAGGGGGUCAUCCCGACUUACCAACCCGAUGCAAACUGCGAAUACCGGAGAAUGUUAUCACGGGAGACACACGGCGGGUGCUAACGUCCGUCGUGAAGAGGGAAACAACCCAGACCGCCAGCUAAGGUCCCAAAGUCAUGGUUAAGUGGGAAACGAUGUGGGAAGGCCCAGACAGCCAGGAUGUUGGCUUAGAAGCAGCCAUCAUUUAAAGAAAGCGUAAUAGCUCACUGGUCGAGUCGGCCUGCGCGGAAGAUGUAACGGGGCUAAACCAUGCACCGAAGCUGCGGCAGCGACGCUUAUGCGUUGUUGGGUAGGGGAGCGUUCUGUAAGCCUGUGAAGGUGUGCUGUGAGGCAUGCUGGAGGUAUCAGAAGUGCGAAUGCUGACAUAAGUAACGAUAAAGCGGGUGAAAAGCCCGCUCGCCGGAAGACCAAGGGUUCCUGUCCAACGUUAAUCGGGGCAGGGUGAGUCGACCCCUAAGGCGAGGCCGAAAGGCGUAGUCGAUGGGAAACAGGUUAAUAUUCCUGUACUUGGUGUUACUGCGAAGGGGGGACGGAGAAGGCUAUGUUGGCCGGGCGACGGUUGUCCCGGUUUAAGCGUGUAGGCUGGUUUUCCAGGCAAAUCCGGAAAAUCAAGGCUGAGGCGUGAUGACGAGGCACUACGGUGCUGAAGCAACAAAUGCCCUGCUUCCAGGAAAAGCCUCUAAGCAUCAGGUAACAUCAAAUCGUACCCCAAACCGACACAGGUGGUCAGGUAGAGAAUACCAAGGCGCUUGAGAGAACUCGGGUGAAGGAACUAGGCAAAAUGGUGCCGUAACUUCGGGAGAAGGCACGCUGAUAUGUAGGUGAAGCGACUUGCUCGUGGAGCUGAAAUCAGUCGAAGAUACCAGCUGGCUGCAACUGUUUAUUAAAAACACAGCACUGUGCAAACACGAAAGUGGACGUAUACGGUGUGACGCCUGCCCGGUGCCGGAAGGUUAAUUGAUGGGGUCAGCGCAAGCGAAGCUCUUGAUCGAAGCCCCGGUAAACGGCGGCCGUAACUAUAACGGUCCUAAGGUAGCGAAAUUCCUUGUCGGGUAAGUUCCGACCUGCACGAAUGGCGUAAUGAUGGCCAGGCUGUCUCCACCCGAGACUCAGUGAAAUUGAACUCGCUGUGAAGAUGCAGUGUACCCGCGGCAAGACGGAAAGACCCCGUGAACCUUUACUAUAGCUUGACACUGAACAUUGAGCCUUGAUGUGUAGGAUAGGUGGGAGGCUUUGAAGUGUGGACGCCAGUCUGCAUGGAGCCGACCUUGAAAUACCACCCUUUAAUGUUUGAUGUUCUAACGUUGACCCGUAAUCCGGGUUGCGGACAGUGUCUGGUGGGUAGUUUGACUGGGGCGGUCUCCUCCUAAAGAGUAACGGAGGAGCACGAAGGUUGGCUAAUCCUGGUCGGACAUCAGGAGGUUAGUGCAAUGGCAUAAGCCAGCUUGACUGCGAGCGUGACGGCGCGAGCAGGUGCGAAAGCAGGUCAUAGUGAUCCGGUGGUUCUGAAUGGAAGGGCCAUCGCUCAACGGAUAAAAGGUACUCCGGGGAUAACAGGCUGAUACCGCCCAAGAGUUCAUAUCGACGGCGGUGUUUGGCACCUCGAUGUCGGCUCAUCACAUCCUGGGGCUGAAGUAGGUCCCAAGGGUAUGGCUGUUCGCCAUUUAAAGUGGUACGCGAGCUGGGUUUAGAACGUCGUGAGACAGUUCGGUCCCUAUCUGCCGUGGGCGCUGGAGAACUGAGGGGGGCUGCUCCUAGUACGAGAGGACCGGAGUGGACGCAUCACUGGUGUUCGGGUUGUCAUGCCAAUGGCACUGCCCGGUAGCUAAAUGCGGAAGAGAUAAGUGCUGAAAGCAUCUAAGCACGAAACUUGCCCCGAGAUGAGUUCUCCCUGACUCCUUGAGAGUCCUGAAGGAACGUUGAAGACGACGACGUUGAUAGGCCGGGUGUGUAAGCGCAGCGAUGCGUUGAGCUAACCGGUACUAAUGAACCGUGAGGCUUAACCUU